GAUGAAGAACGCAGCGAAAUGCGAUACUUGGUGUGAAUUGCAGAAUCCCGCGAAUCAUCGAGUUUUUGAACGCAAGUUGCGCCCGAAGCCAUUCGGCCGAGGGCACGUCUGCCUGGGUGUCACGCAUCGUUGCCCCCCCAAACUCCGGUUCGGGCGGGGCGGAAGUUGGCCUCCCGUGCGUGCCUGCGCGCGCGGUUAGCCCAAAAGCGAGUCCUCGGCGAUGAGCGCCACGACAAUCGGUGGUUUUUUUACCCUCGUUCCUCGUCGUGCGUGUCCCGUCGCCCGAACGCGCUCUUGCAACCCUUACGCGUCGCCUCGGUGGCGCUCCCAACGCGACCCCAGGUCAGGCGGGACUACCCGCUGAGUUUAAGCAUAUCAAUAAGCGGAGGA
rnacentral:misc_RNA from 1 species